GACGAACGCUGGCGGCGUGCCUAAUACACGCAAGUUGAGCGCUGAAGGUUGGUACUUGUACCGACUGGAUGAGCAGCGAACGGGUGAGUAACGCGUGGGGAAUCUGCCUUUGAGCGGGGGACAACAUUUGGAAACGAAUGCUAAUACCGCAUAAAAACUUUAAACACAAGUUUUAAGUUUGAAAGAUGCAAUUGCAUCACUCAAAGAUGAUCCCGCGUUGUAUUAGCUAGUUGGUGAGGUAAAGGCUCACCAAGGCGAUGAUACAUAGCCGACCUGAGAGGGUGAUCGGCCACAUUGGGACUGAGACACGGCCCAAACUCCUACGGGAGGCAGCAGUAGGGAGUCUUCGGCAAUGGACGAAAGUCUGACCGAGCAACGCCGCGUGAGUGAAGAAGGUUUUCGGAUCGUAAAACUCUGUUGGUAGAGAAGAACGUUGGUGAGAGUGGAAAGCUCAUCAAGUGACGGUAACUACCCAGAAAGGGACGGCUAACUACGUGCCAGCAGCCGCGGUAA
rnacentral:rRNA from 1 species